AGCCUGGUGUCCUGAGUUCAGAC
rnacentral:piRNA from 1 species